rnacentral:rRNA from 1 species
UACGUAGGGGCCGAGCGUUGUCCGGAUUUAUUGGGCGUAAAGCGCGCGCAGGCGGCCUCGCGCGCCCGACGUGAAAGCCCCCGGCUUAACCGGGGAGGGUCGUUGGGGACGGCGGGGCUUGAGGGCGGGAGAGGUCGGUGGAAUUCCCGGUGUAGUGGUGAAAUGCGUAGAGAUCGGGAGGAACACCUGUGGCGAAGGCGGCCGACUGGGCCGACCCUGACGCUGAGGCGCGAAGGCGUGGGGAGCAAACAGG